rnacentral:tRNA from 1 species
GAUUUUAUAGUGUAAUUUUAAAAACGCACAGUAGAUUGCAAGUCUAAAAGAGGAAAUUUUUUCCUAAAAUCU